GUAGGUGGCAAGCGUUGUCCGGAAUUAUUGGGCGUAAAGCGCGCGCAGGCGGUUCUUUAAGUCUGAUGUGAAAGCCCACGGCUCAACCGUGGAGGGUCAUUGGGAACUGGAGAACUUGAGUACAGAAGAGGAAAGCGGAAUUCCACGUGUAGCGGUGAAAUGCGUAGAGAUGUGGAGGAACACCAGUGGCGAAGGCGGCUUUCUGGUCUGUAACUGACGCUGAGGCGCGAAAGCGUGGGGGAGCAAACAGGAUUAGAUACCCUGGUAGUCCACGCCGUAAACGAUGAGUGCUAAGUGUUAGGGGGUUUCCGCCCCUUAGUGCUGCAGCUAACGCAUUAAGCACUCCGCCUGGGAGUACGGCCGCAAGGCUG
rnacentral:rRNA from 1 species